AGCGAACGCUGGCGGCAGGCUUAACACAUGCAAGUCGAAGGUGAAGCCGGGCUUCGGCCCGGUGGAAACUGGCGCACGGGUGAGUAACGCGUGGGGAUAUGCCCAAGGGUACGGAAUAACCGCUGGAAGCGGCGGCUAAUACCGUAUGUUCCCUCAGGGGGAAAGCUUCGGCGCCCUUGGAUUAUCCCGCGUCCGAUUAGCUUGUUGGUGAGGUAACGGCUCACCAAGGCUCCGAUCGGUAGCUGGUCUGAGAGGACGAUCAGCCACACUGGGACUGAGACACGGCCCAGACUCCUACGGGAGGCAGCAGUGGGGAAUAUUGGACAAUGGGGGCAACCCUGAUCCAGCCAUGCCGCGUGAGUGAAGAAGGCCCUAGGGUUGUAAAGCUCUUUCAGCGGGGAAGAUGAUGACGGUACCCGCAGAAGAAGCCCCGGCUAACUCCGUG
rnacentral:rRNA from 1 species